UGGGGAAUUUUGGACAAUGGGCGCAAGCCUGAUCCAGCCAUGCCGCGUGAGUGAAGAAGGCCUUCGGGUUGUAAAGCUCUUUCGGCGGGGACGAAACGGUCCGUAUUAACACUACGGACUUCUGACGGUACCCGCAGAAGAAGCACCGGCUAACUACGUGCCAGCAGCCGCGGUAAUACGUAGGGUGCAGGCGUUAAUCGGAAUUACUGGGCGUAAAGCGUGCGCAGGCGGUCUCUUAAGACAGGUGUGAAAUCCCCGGGCUUAACCUGGGAACUGCGCUUGUAACUGAGAGGCUUGAGUGUGGCAGAGGGGGGUGGAAUUCCACGUGUAGCAGUGAAAUGCGUAGAGAUGUGGAGGAACACCGAUGGCGAAGGCAGCCCCCUGGGCUAACACUGACGCUCAUGCACGAAAGCGUGGGGAGCAAACAG
rnacentral:rRNA from 1 species